ensembl:snRNA U6 U6 spliceosomal RNA
GUGCUCUCAUUGGCAGUACAUAUAUUAAAAUUGCAACAAUACAGAGAUUAGCAUGGCGUCUGCACAAGGAUGACAUACAAAUUCAUGAAGUGUUCCAUAUUUUU